UGAAUACGAGACGCUAAGGCGUCGAAGUAGUGUAUGUCAUACUUCCAAGAAAAGCUUGCACUGUCAUAGAUAAAAAACGCCUGUACCAUAACCGACACAGGUGGGUAGGUAGAGUAUACUAAGGGGCGCGAGAUAACUCUCUCUAAGGAACUCGGCAAAAUAACUCCGUAACUUCGGGAGAAGGAGUGCCUUAUUCGUAAGGUUGCAAUAACAAGAUCCAAGCAACUGUUUAUCAAAAACACAGGUCUCCGCUAAGUCGUAAGACGAUGUAUGGGGGCUGACGCCUGCCCAGUGCCAGAAGGUUAAAGAAGUUGGUUAGCAAUUGCGAAGCUGAUAACUGAAGCCCUGGUGAACGGCGGCCGUAACAAUAACGGUCCUAAGGUAGCGAAAUUCCUUGUCGGGUAAGUUCCGACCCGCACGAAAGGCGUAAUGAUUUGGAUACUGUCUCGGAGAGGGGCUCGGUGAAAUAGACUUGUCUGUGAAGAUGCGGACUACCUGCACCAGGACAGAAAGACCCUAUGAAGCUUUACUGUAACUUGAAAUUGAAAUUGGACUUUAUUCGCGCAGUAUAGGUGGGAGGCGUUGAUUAUAAUCUUGUGGGAUUAUUGGAGCCAUCAGUGAGAUACCACUCUUGUAAUGUUAGAUUUCUAACUUUGAAUCAUUAUCUGGUCAAAGAACAGUUUCAGGCGGGCAGUUUGACUGGGGCGGUCGCCUCCUAAACGGUAACGGAGGCGUACAAAGGUUUCCUCUGAACGGUUAGAAAUCGUAUCUAGAGUGUAAAGGCAUAAGGAAGCUUGACUGUGAGACCUACAAGUCGAGCAGGGACGAAAGUCGGUCUUAGUGAUCUGACGGUACUGAGUGGAAAGGCCGUCACUCAACGGAUAGAAGUUACUCUAGGAUAACAGGCUGAUCUCCCCCAAGAGUUCACAUCGACGGGGAGGUUUGGCACCUCGAUGUCGGCUCAUCGCAUCCUGGGGCGGUAGUACGUCCCAAGGGUUGGGCUGUUCGCCCAUGAAAGCGGUACGCGAGCUGGGUCCAGAACGUCGUGAGACAGUUCGGUCCAUAUCCGGUGUAGGCGUUAGAAUAUUGAGAGGAGCCUUCUUUAGUACGAGAGGACCGAGAAGGACAUACCUCUGGUGUACCAGUUAUCGUGCCAACGGUAACGCUGGGUAGCUAUGUAUGGAGUGGAUAACCGCUGAAAGCAUCUAAGUGGGAAGCCCACCUCAAGAUAAG
rnacentral:rRNA from 1 species